rnacentral:rRNA from 1 species
AAAAACAUGUCUUUUUGUUUAUGAUUUAAGGUCUGACCUGCCCAAUGAUUAUUAUUAAAUGGCUGCAGUAUUUUGACUGUACAAAGGUAGCAUAAUCAUUAGUUUCUUAAUUAGAAGCUGGAAUGAAUGGUUUGAUGAAAAAUUUACUGUCUCAAUUUAAUUGUAUUAGAAUUUUAUUUUUAAGUGAAAAAGCUUAAAUUUUUUAAGAAGACGAGAAGACCCUAUAGAGUUUUAUGUAUUUAAUAUUUAUUUUUUUAUGGUUUUAUUAUUUUUAAUUUUUUAUUACAUUUUGUUGGGGUGAUGCGAAAAUUUUUUUAACUUUUCUUGAUUUUUACACUGAUUAGUGAGUUAAUGAUCCUUUUUUGGAUUAUAAGAUUAAAUUACCUUAGGGAUAACAGCGUAAUUUUUUUUGAAAGCUCUUAUUGAUAAAAAAGUUUGCGACCUCGAUGUUGGAUUAAAGUUUAUUUUUGGUGUAGAAGCUAAGAAAUUAGGUCUGUUCGACC